GAGCGAACGGAUAAGGAGCUUGCUCCUUUGAAGUUAGCGGCGGACGGGUGAGUAACACGUGGGUAACCUACCUAUAAGACUGGAAUAACUUCGGGAAACCGGAGCUAAUGCCGGAUAACAUAUAGAACCGCAUGGUUCUAUAGUGAAAGAUGGUUUUGCUAUCACUUAUAGAUGGACCCGCGCUGUAUUAGCUAGUUGGUAAGGUAAUGGCUUACCAAGGCGACGAUACAUAGCCGACCUGAGAGGGUGAUCGGCCACACUGGAACUGAGACACGGUCCAGACUCCUACGGGAGGCAGCAGUAGGGAAUCUUCCGCAAUGGGCGAAAGCCUGACGGAGCAACGCCGCGUGAGUGAUGAAGGUUUUCGGAUCGUAAAACUCUGUUAUUAGGGAAGAACAAAUGCGUAAGUAACUGUGCGCAUCUUGACGGUACCUAAUCAGAAAGCCACGGCUAACUACGUGC
rnacentral:rRNA from 2 species